CAAUGCUUUCCCCAAAGCAUUGCUCGGACGUGUCCCACGGUAAUCAAUUCACUCGCCUAGGUUGGAUGGUCGUGUCUUUGUUGGGAAGUCAUGGAUCUGCCUAGGCAAUGGGUUUAGCUGAGUUGGAGUGUGUCGCCCAUGGACACUUAUUCAGCAACAACGGUGACCCGACAAAUUUAAGCUCGGGAACCGGCCGUAACGAAUUCUAUUGAUCGAAGGUAUGAUACUGCGACCGGGACCUGCUAUUGAAAACGUCGAUUCCAACGAGGUAGGGACAUGGCGUGACGAAGGAUGUCCAAAGGUGUCCGAAUCGGUAAUCGGGUUCGAAGCACUGAGUCCCGCACGGGUUUAGACACGUCUUAUAGCUAUGCUCACAGACAAGAUCACUCCCACGCGGUGCACUCGGUUGCCUAGAAUCUGAUCCUUCGUCUCGCUGUUCGUCAUGAACUCAGGAAUUUGAUGCAUUCCCUGCGGGUCUUAGGUCUCUUUCUCAUGCCGGGUAGUCUGUAGGAUUUUGUGAUGGUACAAACCGUCUUCGCCGACGGUAAAAGGUACGGUUUAUUCAAAAAGACCGUCUGUUGUUUGCGGGAAAACUUCCAAAAGCAGCAAGUCCCUAUCGGUUUUCGCUCGCCUAGUCGGAUGGUCGUGUCUUCUUGGGGGGAAGAGAUGGAUCCAACUAGGCAUUAGUCCGAGAUGAGUGAACGGUGCUUUCCCCAAAGCAUUGCUCGGACGUGUCCCACGGUAAUUAAUUCACUCGCCUAGGUUGGAUGGUCGUGCCUUGUUGGAAAGUCAUGGAUCUGCCUAGGCAAUGGGUUUAGCUGAGUUGGAGUGUGUCGCCCAUGGACACUUAUUCAGCCAUGGUGACCCGACGAAUUUUAAGAUCGGUGAACCGGCCGGAACAAAUUCUAUCGAUCGAAGGUAUGAUACUGCGACCGGGACCUGCAAUAGAAAAUGUCAGUUCCAACGAGGGAAGGACAUUGUGGGGCAAAAGGCUAUGAAUGGACAAUUGGCAGUUGGGAUUGUGUUCCGGUUUUAGACAUGUACAUCAUGGUGGUCAAACCGCGGUCAUUCUCUCAGCUGCCUUGAGUCCGCGCCUUUGUUUCGCAGGUGGUUUGAACUCAGGAAUUGAUGCGUUCUCUGCGGGUCUUAGGUCUCUUUCUCAUGCCGGGUAGUCUUUAGGGUUUUGUGAUGGUACAAACCAUCUUCGCCGAUGGUAAAAGGUGCGGUUAAUUCAAUAAGACCGUCUGUUGCUUGCGGGGAAACUCCCAAAAGCAGCAAGUCCCUAUCGGUUUUCGCGCUUGUGCGGCUUUGGCUUGGUUUUGUCUGUCUUCUAUCUGCUCUUUUGAUUCAACAUCCGAAGAGUGGUUGGAAAGAUUGAUGCUAUCAGGUCAACUGAACGUUCGGCGUAUGAGUGGUAAUUGGAUAGCUAGUGUUUGUAGGCUCCGUGCUCGCGCAUCGAACUACAGACCACCUAUCCUUCUCAGUUGCUUCACGAGCAAAUUUAUGCUCGUUGACGAGAUCCGGGGCUUGUGUUGCGUACCUAACUAGAAGGAAUUGUUGAGUUUGGCUUUAAACGUUGUUACGGCUUAUCCUUCGAUGGGUAUGUUGUGAACACAAAAUUCGGCACUUGUGAUCCUUGCGUGUCUUGGCACUAACAAUGCCUUGUUCGUAAAGGUGAAUAAGCUGUCGGUUGGAAUCUGGGAUGCGGAAAAGUUAUGGACGGUGGCUCGAAUUAAUUCAGUCCCGCCAAAGCAAAUUUGUCCCUUGGGCAAAAGAUGACGGUCAAGACCUCGUCUGUUCUUUCUUACAUACGUUUGCGAGAAUUAGUCGGGGUCUUGCCGUGAUUAAUGAAUGCUACCUGGUUGAUCCUGCCAGUAGUCAUAUGCUUGUCUCAAGAUUAAGCCAUGCAUGUGUAAGUAUGAACGAAUUCAGACUGUGAAACUGCGAAUGGCUCAUUAAAUCAGUUAUAGUUUGUUUGAUGGUAACUACUACUCGGAUAACCGUAGUAAUUCUAGAGCUAAUACGUGCAACAAACCCCGACUUCUGGAAGGGAUGCAUUUAUUAGAUAAAAGGUCGACGCGGGCUCUGCCCGUUGCUCUGAUGAUUCAUGAUAACUCGACGGAUCGCAAGGCCUU
rnacentral:lncRNA from 1 species